rnacentral:rRNA from 1 species
CCAGACUCCUACGGGAGGCAGCAGUGGGGAAUAUUGCACAAUGGGGGAAACCCUGAUGCAGCAACGCCGCGUGAGUGAAGAAGUAUUUCGGUAUGUAAAGCUCUAUCAGCAGGGAAGAAAUUGACAGUACCUCAGGAGGAAGCUCCGGCUAACUAUGUGCCAGCAGCCGCGGUAAUACAUAGGGAGCAAGCGUUAUCCGGAUUUAUUGGGUGUAAAGGGUGCGUAGACGGGAAAUUAAGUUAGUUGUGAAAUCCCUCGGCUUAACUGAGGAACUGCAACUAAAACUGAUUUUCUUGAGUACUGGAGAGGAAAGUGGAAUUCCUAGUGUAGCGGUGAAAUGCGUAGAUAUUAGGAGGAACACCAGUGGCGAAGGCGACUUUCUGGACAGUAACUGACGUUGAGGCACGAAAGUGUGGGGAGCAAACAGGAUUAGAUACCCCCGUAAC